UACGUAGGUGGCAAGCGUUGUCCGGAUUUACUGGGCGUAAAGCGAACGCAGGCGGAAGGUUAAGUAGGAAGUGAAAGGUUGCAGCUCAACUGUAACACUGCUCCCUAUACUGGCCUUCUUGAGUAGCGGAGAGGAAGAGGGAACGACACGUGUAGCGGUGAAAUGCGUUGAUAUGUGUCGGAACACCAAUGGCGAAAGCACUCUUCUGGACGCACACUGACGCUGAGGUUCGAAAGCCAAGGUAGCAAACAGG
rnacentral:rRNA from 1 species